UCUGCUUAACACAUGCAAGUCGAACGCAACCUUCGGGUUGAGUGGCGGACGGGUGAGUAACGCGUGAGAAUCUGCCUUGGGGUCGGGGACAACCACUGGAAACGGUGGCUAAUACCGGAUAAGCCUUUGGGUAAAAAAUUUAUUGCCCCAAGAGGAGCUCGCGUCUGAUUAGCUAGUUGGUGAGGUAAAAGCUCACCAAGGCAGCGAUCAGUAGCUGGUCUGAGAGGACGAUCAGCCACACUGGGACUGAGACACGGCCCAGACUCCUACGGGAGGCAGCAGUGGGGAAUUUUCCGCAAUGGGCGAAAGCCUGACGGAGCAAGACCGCGUGAGGGAGGAAGGCUCUUGGGUUGUAAACCUCUUUUCUCAGGGAAGAAGCUCUGACGGUACCUGAGGAAUCAGCCUCGGCUAACUCCGUGCCAGCAGCCGCGGUAAUACGGAGGAGGCAAGCGUUAUCCGGAAUUAUUGGGCGUAAAGCGUCCGCAGGUGGCGAUUCAAGUCUGCUGUCAAAGCACGGGGCUUAACUCCGUUAAGGCAGUGGAAACUGAAUAGCUAGAGUGCCGUAGGGGUAGAGGGAAUUCCCGGUGUAGCGGUGAAAUGCGUAGAGAUCGGGAAGAACAUCGGUGGCGAAAGCGCUCUACUGGACGGCAACUGACACUCAGGGACGAAAGCUAGGGGAGCGAAUGGGAUUAGAUACCCCAGUAGUCCUAGCUGUAAACGAUGGAUACUAGGUGUAGCUUGUAUCGACCCGAGCUGUGCCGAAGCUAACGCGUUAAGUAUCCCGCCUGGGGAGUACGCACGCAAGUGUGAAA
rnacentral:rRNA from 1 species